rnacentral:rRNA from 1 species
AUUGAACGCUGGCGGCAUGCUUUACACAUGCAAGUCGAACGGUAACAGGUUAAGCUGACGAGUGGCGAACGGGUGAGUAAUGCAUCGGAACGUGCCCGGUCGUGGGGGAUAACGCAGCGAAAGCUGCGCUAAUACCGCAUACGAUCUGAGGAUGAAAGCGGGGGACCGUAAGGCCUCGCGCGAUCGGAGCGGCCGAUGUCUGAUUAGGUAGUUGGUGGGGUAAAGGCUCACCAAGCCGACGAUCUGUAGCUGGUCUGAGAGGACGACCAGCCAAAAUGGGAAUGGGGCUGGGCCCAGGCUCCUACGGGAGGCAGAAGUGGGGAAUUUUGGACAAUGGGCGCAAGCCUGAGCCAGCAAUGCCGCGUGCAGGAAGAAGGCCUUCGGGUUGUAAACUGCUUUUGUACGGAGCGAAAAGGCUCUCUCUAAUACAGGGGGCUCAUGACGGUACCGUAAGAAUAAGCACCGGCUAACUACGUGCCAGCAGCCGCAGUAA